AACAGGCAUUUACCCAUACUACAUCUGUACGAGUAUAACACCGACCAUUUUAGUCAGACUGAACCCUGAUCCAUAAUCAGGGUUUUUUCAAGUUCUUCAUUUCAAGGGCCUGGGCCCUUCUAUUGGGAAAAAUAGCAACAUUUGCUAGAAAUUGGGGACAUUGUUCCAUACAAAAAGAAAUGGUGAAUUUUCUUUCUAUGUGACCAGUCCAAAUGAAACCCUGAUUACAAGAGUGGAUGUGCUAAUCAUAUUGCAGUGUUAACAUCCGAGCAUCACGGGGGAGGAGACCCCGCCCUCCUUAUAAAACACCUGUAUCACAAAACUUUUACAACUGAA